UGGGGAAUAUUGCACAAUGGGCGCAAGCCUGAUGCAGCCAUGCCGCGUGUGUGAAGAAGGCCUUCGGGUUGUAAAGCACUUUCAGCGAGGAGGAAGGUGGUGGACUUAAUACGUUCAUCAAUUGACGUUACUCGCAGAAGAAGCACCGGCUAACUCCGUGCCAGCAGCCGCGGUAAUACGGAGGGUGCAAGCGUUAAUCGGAAUUACUGGGCGUAAAGCGCACGCAGGCGGUUUGUUAAGUCAGAUGUGAAAUCCCCGGGCUCAACCUGGGAACUGCAUUUGAAACUGGCAAGCUAGAGUCCUCGUAGAGGGGGGUAGAAUUCCAGGUGUAGCGGUGAAAUGCGUAGAGAUCUGGAGGAAUACCGGUGGCGAAGGCGGCCCCCUGGACGAAGACUGACGCUCAGGUGCGAAAGCGUGGGGAGCAAACAGAUUAGNUACCCUGGUAGUCACGCUGUAAACGAUGUCGAUUUUGGAGGUUGUGCCCUUGAGGCGUGCUUCCGGAGCUAACGCGUUAAAUCGACCGCCUGGGGAGUACGGCCGCAAGGUUAAAACUU
rnacentral:rRNA from 1 species